rnacentral:rRNA from 1 species
UACGGGGGGGGCAAGCGUUGUUCGGAAUUACUGGGCGUAAAGGGCUCGUAGGCGGCCAACUAAGUCAUACGUGAAAUCCCUCGGCUUAACCAGGGAACUGCGUCUGAUACUGGAUGGCUUGAGUUCGGGAGAGGGAUGCGGAAUUCCAGGUGUAGUGGUGGAAUGCGUAGAGAUCCGGAGGAACACCAGCGGCGAAGGCGGCAUCCUGGACUGGUACUGACGCUCAGGAGCGAUAGCGUGGGGAGCGAUCCGG